AAAUGCGAUAAGUAAUGUGAAUUGCAGAAUUCCGUGAAUCAUCGAAUCUUUGAACGCACAUUGCGCCCUCUGGCAUUCCGGGGGGCAUGCCUGUCCGAGCGUCAUUACGCACCCUCAAGCCCGGCUUGUGUGAUGGGCCCUGGCGUCUCGUUCGCGAGACGGGCCCGAAAGGCAGCGGCGGCGUCGACCCGAUGAGCCAGAGCGUAUGGGGACUUUUGUCACACGUUUGCGGUGCGGACCGGCGCCUGCUUGACUUUUCUGAUUAUCCAGGUUGACCUCGGAUCAGGUAGGGAUACCCGCUGAACUUAAGC
rnacentral:misc_RNA from 1 species